rnacentral:rRNA from 1 species
UCGGCCUGCGCGGAAGAUGUAACGGGGCUAAACCAUGCACCGAAGCUGCGGCAGCGACGCUGAUGCGUUGUUGGGUAGGGGAGCGUUCUGUAAGCCUGUGAAGGUGGCCUGUGAGGGUUGCUGGAGGUAUCAGAAGUGCGAAUGCUGACAUAAGUAACGAUAAAGCGGGUGAAAAGCCCGCUCGCCGGAAGACCAAGGGUUCCUGUCCAACGUUAAUCGGGGCAGGGUGAGUCGACCCCUAAGGCGAGGCCGAAAGGCGUAGUCGAUGGGAAACGGGUUAAUAUUCCCGUACUUGGUGUUACUGCGAAGGGGGGACGGAGAAGGCUAUGUUGGCCGGGCGACGGUUGUCCCGGUUUAAGCGUGUAGGUGUGUGUUCCAGGUAAAUCCGGUUCACUUUAACACUGAGGCGUGAUGACGAGGCACUACGGUGCUGAAGCAACAAAUGCCCUGCUUCCAGGAAAAGCCUCUAAGCAUCAGGUAACAUCAAAUCGUACCCCAAACCGACACAGGUGGUCAGGUAGAGAAUACCAAGGCGCUUGAGAGAACUCGGGUGAAGGAACUAGGCAAAAUGGUGCCGUAACUUCGGGAGAAGGCACGCUGACACGUAGGUGAAGUGAUUUACUCACGGA